CCUCCCCUGACCUGGCAGUCACAUAUCAGGUCACUCCAGGUUCAGCCUCAGGGAGUGGUCUGCUGCCUGUCUGCAUGUUGCUGACUCGGGCCUGCUCGGUUCAACUGUGCCGCCGCCUCUGAAAAAACCUCGUGACCCCCGUGACCCCUCGGCAGUCUGGCCAAGAUCAGCCCUGAGGCAAGCAAACCAGCCCCUCCUCAGUGUCCCACCGCUGUGCACCACGAGAACGACAUGCAGCCGAGCACGGAAGGGAGACGACCAUGUCCAAGAGCCAGAGACAAGUGUUCCAGCCACAUGUGCUGGAGCCAGAUGGCAGGGCUACCUGUUUAAUGUGUUGUACAUGUGUUGUUGUUCCAGGGGCGCAGCUCCCGUCACCGGUUACAGGCAGGGGUUACAAAAUAAAUCAGCUCCCGCAAUUACAUGUGUGUGUUUGUGUGUGUGUAAAACAUAUUUUACACUUUGUAAACCUAAGUUGGUAAAUAUCUGAUGUGGAAGGAUAUAUGAGAAACAAUCAAAUAUAAAUUAGGUUUUAAAAAUGAAAUUAAAGGGUCU